GUCUUCCUGUUUAUUUAGGAGGUCUGACCUGCCCAGUGAUUUUUUUAACGGCCGCGGUAUUCUGACCGUGCAAAGGUAGCAUAAUCAUUAGUCUUUUAAUAGGAGGCUGGAAUGAAAGGUUUGACGAGACACUAACUGUCUCAUUUUAAUUGAAUUGAAAUUAGCUUCUAGGUUAAAAGGCCUAGAUUUUGUUGGUAGACGAGAAGACCCUAUAGAGCUUUAGUAUUAGGAUUUUAACUUUUUUUGGUUAAAUGUUAAGGGGUUUAUUUUUUAUUAUUUUUGUUGGGGUGACAAGAACAUAUGAAUAACUUUUAUUAUUUAUUGCACAUUUAUUUAUGGUUUUUAGAUCCAUUAUUAUUGAUUGUUAGAAUAAGUUACCUUAGGGAUAACAGCGUAAUCUUCUUUUGGAGUUCUUAUCUACAAGAAGGCUUGCGACCUCGAUGUUGGAUUAAGAUUAUAGAUUGGCGCAGUAGCUUUUCUAAUAGGUCUGUUCGACCUUUAAUUUCUUACAUGAUCUGAGUUCAGACCGG
rnacentral:rRNA from 1 species